CCGGGUCUGGCGGAUCGGCCGCCCGCCGCCGGAACCGGCGGUCGUCGCCCGGGCCGCGGAGAUCAUCCGUUCGGCCCGGCGGCCCUUC
rnacentral:tRNA from 1 species